GCCCAGAUAGGUCAGUCGGUAGAGCGUAUCCUUGGUAAGGAUAAGGUCCCCAGUUCAAAUCUGGGUCUGGGCUCCA
rnacentral:tRNA from 1 species